AAGAAGUGAAAGACAAAAAGCAAAAAAACAGGAAAAAACCACCCUACAAAGAAAAAAGCCCAAAAAAGAGCCCAGAACAAAAAAACCUAAGCCCAACCCUACGCAACCAUAAAGCUGAAAAAAAGAGAGGAGGAAACCCUAAAAACCCUAAGACACAUAUAGCCAAAGAAACAGAGUACCAAUCAUUCUCCUGCUCUUUCUUUCAUUUCCAUCCCAAGAAAAAACCAUGCCCUUCUUCUUCCUCCAUUAAAUGUCACUUGUCUUUUUCUAUAUUCCUGGCUAUCAGCUACAUUUGAUCUCUCUGAUUCUUCUUCUGCUUCUCUUUCUUUUUGCUUUUUUUUUUAUUGGCUCUUUGGCAUUACGAAAAGUCACAUUCCGUUCUAGUUUGGAGGAAGGGGCUGAAAAGAAGAGAAAGAGAAGGGAAUAUGUUAACGUGCAUAGCUUGUUCAAAGCAUUUACAUAAUAACAAUGGAUCUAUAGGGCGCCAUCAGGAUGAAGAUACUUUGGAAACUCCUAGGGCUAGGCAAAGCAUCAAGGCCCUCACUUCUCAGGCAUUGUGAUUACUUGCUAUAUGUAUAUAAACAUGUAGAGAUUUGCACAUCCUCUUCUAUUCGUUUUCUAAGAAAAUGCGGGAAAAACUGAGUCGCAAUAUUUGAAGUCAUGCUCUGAAUCCUUUGGCUUUGAGGGGUUCAAGUUUCUUUUUAUUUUCUGAUGGAAAAAUAAGAUGGGAAUUAUUUUUUUCAGCUGCGUCGCUUUCCAUUUUCUUAGGAAAUAAACAUUGUAGCCCAGAAUCCGCCAUGUUCUUAAAUAUUUUUCCAAUUUGUUUUCGAAA